UAGGGAAUCUUCGGCAAUGGGGGCAACCCUGACCGAGCAACGCCGCGUGAGUGAAGAAGGUUUUCGGAUCGUAAAGCUCUGUUGUAAGUCAAGAACGGGUGUGAGAGUGGAAAGUUCACACUGUGACGGUAGCUUACCAGAAAGGGACGGCUAACUACGUGCCAGCAGCCGCGGUAAUACGUAGGUCCCGAGCGUUGUCCGGAUUUAUUGGGCGUAAAGCGAGCGCAGGCGGUUUGAUAAGUCUGAAGUUAAAGGCUGUGGCUCAACCAUAGUUCGCUUUGGAAACUGUCAAACUUGAGUGCAGAAGGGGAGAGUGGAAUUCCAUGUGUAGCGGUGAAAUGCGUAGAUAUAUGGAGGAACACCGGUGGCGAAAGCGGCUCUCUGGUCUGUAACUGACGCUGAGGCUCGAAAGCGUGGGGAGCGAACAGGAUUAGAUACCCUGGUAGUCCACGCCGUAAACGAUGAGUGCUAGGUGUUGGAUCCUUUCCGGGAUUCAGUGCCGAAGCUAACGCAUUAAGCACUCCGCCUGGGGAGUACGACCGCAAGGUUGAAACUCUAAAGUGAAUUGACGGGG
rnacentral:rRNA from 1 species